UAGUAUUACAAUUUACGAGUAGGUGUUAAAUAGGAGUGCAAUCCAAGCCUACCCCCGGCGCCUUCUCUCGUUCGCUCUCUCUCUAGAUCGCAACAGCAGCAGCAGGCAAAGGAAUUGAAGACGGAGAUCUGAUGUACCUGUUGGUUGAUUUUAAUUUGAUUGACGACGAUCAUCAUGAUUGCUGUAGAGCAUAAAGAUUCCAUUGAGCACAUCCCUCGUGAGGUGCCAGGGAAUUGCCUCCAGAACAAUGGCUUCCCUUGCAACUUGCAGUAUACGAGGAUCCCAAUUGAAGGCUUUCAGGAGCUCAAAGAUGGGAUCCGUGGUCAUCCAGCGAGGGAUAUUGUGGAACCGGACAACUCAUUUAAUAGUGAUUCUCUCGAAUCGCCUAAAGAAACUCCAAAG